rnacentral:rRNA from 1 species
GAUGAACGCUGGCGGCGUGCCUAAUACAUGCAAGUCGAGCGAACAGACGAGAGUGCUUGCACUCUCUGACGUUAGCGGCGGACGGGUGAGUAACACGUGGGUAACCUACCUAUAAGACUGGGAUAACUUCGGGAAACCGGAGCUAAUACCGGAUAAUAUUUAGCUUCGCAUGAAGCAAUAGUGAAAGACGGUUCUGCUGUCACUUAUAGAUGGACCCGCGGUGUAUUAGCUAGUUGGUGAGGUAACGGCUCACCAAGGCAACGAUACAUAGCCGACCUGAGAGGGUGAUCGGCCACACUGGGACUGAGACACGGCCCAGACUCCUACGGGAGGCAGCAGUAGGGAAUCUUCCGCAAUGGACGGAAGUCUGACGGAGCAAUGCCGCGUGAGUGAAGAAGGUUUUCGGAUCGUAAAACUCUGUUGUAAGGGAAGAACAAGUACGUUAGUAACUGAACGUACCUUGACGGUACCUUACCAGAAGGCCACGGCUAACUACGUG